GAUGUUUAAAUGAGAACCAUGCUACCCCAGAAAUCUCUAAUCUUCUCCCCAGUGCAUCGGCUCUAUUGACUGCCCUGCAGCACAGACACAUAAUUUAAGCAGCAUCAGAGAUAGAACUAGAGCAGGUGUUGCAUUUUGAUAGAGGGAAGUUCCUGACCCUUCAAUGAUGAUUUGUGAUUUCUCAGAGGGAGGAGAAAAGUUUGCCCUAUUCCUCCCUCCACUUCCCUGUCUGUGAAGUGUUUUGUCAUUAAAUGAAAAAUCAUAAAAUGACAGACUCAUAUAGGUUGGUGUAUGGGAACCAUUAAAUUAUGGCCUGAACCAGUGAUUGAGCACCUGAUGAGGGGCAUAACCAGCCCUGGGAGCACAGGUGCUAGGAAUUCAUCUAUGUGCCCAGAAGGGGUGGGUCCUGGGUCCACCUCUCUCUAACUUCAUUCAAGAGCUGGCAGCCAAAGGGGAACCAGUUCUACUUAGAAAUUGCCUCCUGGGGGAGUUUUCAGCAAGCCCUCAUCUUUGGAAGGGGAUGCUGAUGGCCCAUGAACACCUCUUUGACCUAGUCUCCUGCAGAAAGUAAACUAAGAGUCCCCUCUGCCCUGCAACGAUGUCUCAAAAGAUUUUAGUUAAAUGAAAAAGAAAAAAUGGGAGGAAAAAAAAAAAGCAGCGUAAUUCAAUUGAUUCAAAGGUUAAGGAGGGAGAAGAGACAUCUGUCAUUCUGAUGGCAGAACAUAACCUUUCAUAUUCCUGUGGUGAUGCUCUAAUGAAAUUUAUCAAAGAGACUUUUCACUGACCUAAAAGCUGCCAAGAACACAAAAGGUGCCACACAGCAUCCCUUUGGUGAAUCUGGGUUCUCUAUCCAGGCAAUGUCACCUCCCAACCACUUGCCCGCCUCCAGCAUACUGGUCUUUUGGAGAUGGGAUGGGAGACAAAGUUUUGACCACUGGGAUUGGAGGUAAAACCUUAUGGCAUGUCAUCUCAUUGAAUUGAUGUGCCCCUUGAUGCAAAAUGUGUCUUGCCAACCCGAGUGAGACACAGCAGCCCCUAGCACUGUUUUUGGGACUUGACCUGUGCCUAUCAAGUCUCUGUUCAGCACUGUCAGAAAAGCAGGGGAAGGAGAAUCUCCAUGUUGGUGGACUCUAUGGUCGAGGCAGGAACCCAGCUGAAGUCUUGACACCCAAGAAUCCAACACACAGCUUUUCCUUUCCUGAGGGACUUCAGACCUCAGCUGAGCCAUCAGCUGUUCUUAUGGACAUUUGAGGGGGCAUGGAGCAGGGGAAGCUCUACUUGUGCUUGAAGCUGUACUUUCUAGGAAUGGUUGGACAUCUGUGGACCAAUGGAAAAUAGUGAAUUCAUUCCUUAUUAUUUGUGGUUUACGCUGCUUUUACUUUCCCAAUUAAACCAUCACAGUCAUGAUUGUUGCAGUGCUUGUGUGAUUCCUACUCUUCAGGAGAGGAGGAGGAGUGAGACUCUGGGUGGGUAUUGGCUAGGGUGAACCCACAACAGAUAAGUUAUAAUUCUUCCUUGCCACGCAGUGUUUGUACAAUUUCAUGUAAUUUGAAGGAACAUGAAACUAUGUCAAAAAUAAUGCUUACAUUUAUUUAACCAUUU